rnacentral:rRNA from 1 species
GGAUGCGAUCAUACCAGCACUAAAGCACCGGAUCCCAUCAGAACUUCGAAGUUAAGCGUGCUUGGGCGAGAGUAGUACUAGGAUGGGUGACCUCCUGGGAAGUCCGCGUGUUGCAUUCC